AUUGAACGCUGGCGGCAUGCCUUACACAUGCAAGUCGAACGGCAGCACGGGUGCUUGCACCUGGUGGCGAGUGGCGAACGGGUGAGUAAUACAUCGGAACGUACCUUAUCGAGGGGGAUAACGCAGCGAAAGCUGUGCUAAUACCGCAUACGCCCUGAGGGGGAAAGCGGGGGAUCGCAAGACCUCGCGCGAUUAGAGCGGCCGAUGCCUGAUUAGCUAGUUGGUGGGGCAAAAGCCCACCAAGGCGACGAUCAGUAGCUGGUCUGAGAGGACGAUCAGCCACACUGGGACUGAGACACGGCCCAGACUCCUACGGGAGGCAGCAGUGGGGAAUUUUGGACAAUGGGGGCAACCCUGAUCCAGCAAUGCCGCGUGAGUGAAGAAGGCCUUCGGGUUGUAAAGCUCUUUUGUCAGGGAAGAAACACCGGCUCUAACACAGUCCGGGAAUGACGGUACCUGAAGAAUAAGCACCGGCUAACUACGUGCCAGCCGCCGCCGUAA
rnacentral:rRNA from 1 species